rnacentral:rRNA from 1 species
GGCUACGAGGACGAACGCUGGCGGCGUGCCUAACACAUGCAAGUCGAACGGAGUGUGCGCUGAAACUGAGAGCAGCUUGCUGCAGGAUGAUUCUGUAACACUUAGUGGCGGACGGGUGAGUAACGCGUGAGGAACCUGCCUUACAGAGGGGGACAACAGUUGGAAACGACUGCUAAUACCGCAUAACAUAUUGAGAGGACAUCCUCUUAAUAUCAAAGGAGCAAUCCGCUGUAAGAUGGCCUCGCGUCCGAUUAGAUAGUUGGCGGGGUAACGGCCCACCAAGUCUACGAUCGGUAGCCGGACUGAGAGGUUGAACGGCCACAUUGGGACUGAGACACGGCCCAGACUCCUACGGGAGGCAGCGGUGGGGGAUAUUGCACAAUGGAGGAAACUCCUGAUGCAGCAACGCCGCGUGAGGGAAGAAGGUUUUCGGAUUGUAAACCUCUGUUUUAGUGACGAAACAAAUGACGGUAGCUAAAGAGGAAGCCACGGCUAACUACGUGCCAGCCGCCGC